rnacentral:rRNA from 1 species
UACGGAAGGCAGCAGUGGGGAAUAUUGCACAAUGGGCGAAAGCCUGAUGCAGCUAUGCCGCGUGUAUGAAGAAGGCCUUAGGGUUGUAAAGUACUUUCAUCGGGGAGGAAAAAACAAAACUAAUAAUUUUAUUUCUUGACGUUACCCGAAAAAGAAGCACCGGCUAACUCCGUGCCAGCAGCCGCGGUAAUACGGAGGGUGCUAGCGUUAAUCAGAAUUACUGGGCGUAAAGAGCACGUAGGUGGUUUUUUUAAGUCAGAUGUGAAUCCCCUGGGCUUAACCUAGGAACUGCAUUUUGAAACUGAAAUACUAGAGUAUCGUAGAGGGAGGUAGAAUUCUAGGUGUAGCGGUGAAAUGCGUAGAUAUCUGGAGGAAUACCUGUGGCGAAAGCGGCCUCCUAAACGAAUACUGACACUGAGGUGCGAAAGCGUGGGGAGCAAACAGGGAUUAGAUACC